UCCUACGGGAGGCAGCAGUGGGGAAUAUUGCACAAUGGGCGCAAGCCUGAUGCAGCAACGCCGCGUGAGGGACGAAGGCCUUCGGGUUGUAAACCUCUUUUAGUAGGGAAGAAGCGACUGGGUUUUCCUGGGAGUGACGGUACCUGCAGAAAAAGCACCGGCUAACUACGUGCCAGCAGCCGCGGUAAUACGUAGGGUGCAAGCGUUGUCCGGAAUUAUUGGGCGUAAAGAGCUCGUAGGCGGUUUGUCGCGUCUGCUGUGAAAACCCGAGGCUCAACCUCGGGCCUGCAGUGGGUACGGGCAGACUAGAGUGCGGUAGGGGAGAUUGGAAUUCCUGGUGUAGCGGUGGAAUGCGCAGAUAUCAGGAGGAACACCAAUGGCGAAGGCAGAUCUCUGGGCCGUAACUGUCGCUGAGGAGCGAAAGCAUGGGGAGCGAACAGGAUUAGAUACCCUGGUAGUCCAUGCCGUAAACGUUGGGAACUAGAUGUGGGGACCAUUCCACGGUCUCCGUGUCGCAGCUAACGCAUUAAGUUCCCCGCCUGGGGAGUACGGCCGCAAGGCUAAAACUCAAAGGAAUUGACGGGGGCCCGCACAAGCGGCGGAGCAUGCGGAUUAAUUCGAUGCAACGCGAAGAACCUUACCAAGGCUUGACAUAUACCGGAAACGGCUGGAAACAGUCGCCCCGCAAGGUCGGUAUACAGGUGGUGCAUGGUUGUCGUCAGCUCGUGUCGUGAGAUGUUGGGUUAAGUCCCGCAACGAGCGCAACCCUCGUCCUAUGUUGCCAGCACGUAAUGGUGGGAACUCAUGGGAUACUGCCGGGGUCAACUCGGAGGAAGGUGGGGAUGACGUCAAAUCAUCAUGCCCCUUAUGUCUUGGGCUUCACGCAUGCUACAAUGGCCGGUACAAAGGGCUGCGAUACCGCAAGGUGGAGCGAAUCCCAAAAAGCCGGUCUCAGUUCGGAUUGAGGUCUGCAACUCGACCUCAUGAAGUCGGAGUCGCUAGUAAUCGCAGAUCAGCAACGCUGCGGUGAAUACGUUCCCGGGCCUUGUACACACCGCC
rnacentral:rRNA from 1 species